AACGAACGCUGGCGGCGUGCCUAACACAUGCAAGUCGAGCGAGAAAGCCCGCAAGGGUGAGUACAGCGGCGCACGGGUGCGUAACACGUGGGUAAUCUACCUCGAAGUCUGGAAUAACUCCCCGAAAGGGGUGCUAAUGCCGGAUGAGACCACGGGAGCUGCGGCUCCCGAGGGAAAAGAUGGCCUCUGCAUGCAAGCUAUCGCUUCGAGAUGAGCCCGCGGUCCAUCAGCUUGUUGGCGGGGUAACGGCCCACCAAGGCUACGACGGGUAGCUGGUCUGAGAGGACGAUAAGCCACACUGGAACUGGGACACGGUCCAGACUCCUACGGGAGGCAGCAGUGGGGAAUCUUGCGCAAUGGGCGAAAGCCUGACGCAGCAACGCCGCGUGUGUGAUGAAGGUCUUCGGAUCGUAUAGCACUGUCGGGAGGGACGAAUAAGGGCCGGGUUAACAUCCCGGUCCGAUGACGGUACCUCCAAAGGAAGCACCGGCUAACUCUGUGCCAGCCGCCGCGGUAAAAC
rnacentral:rRNA from 1 species